rnacentral:rRNA from 1 species
UCAACGCGGGAAAUCUUACCGGGUCCGGACACACUGAGGAUUGACAGAUAUAUACCCCGUGAUUUUAUCGCGGGGUUGAAAGAUGCUAGUUCUUUCAUGAUUAUGUGAUAGGUGGUGCAUGGCCGUUCUUAGUUCGUGGAGUGAUCUGUCUGCUUAAUUGCGUAUCAAUAAUAGAGACCUAGUAUACGCGUAGACUCAUGCGGUAGUGACCCCCCUUCACAGGGCGCGUGUCGCACGUAUGUUAUACGCACAGGUCUCCGAUAGCAACGAACGUGACCGUACUCUAUUGUUGCAGCGACAAUACCUUUCAACGGGUAUUACCGCUGCUUAGCAAGAUUCGUCUUGCAUUAAACUAUAGAGACCGCUGUUUCUUCUUUAAACCAGAGGAAGGAUACGGCAAUAACAGGUCUGUGAUGCCCUCAGAUGUUCCGGGCUGCACACGUGCUACAAUGAUCAUUGCACUGUGCAUCUAACCCAAUGUGCGCGGACGCCGCCGUGCGUAUAUACUUUAUUGUGUAUGCGUAUCGUGCGUGCGACCGCGCCGAACCUGCUUCGAAAGUAAACAUUUCCAGCGGGUAAUCCAUUAGAAGUAAUGACUCGCAUAGACCAUGGCACACUAUAUGUACCCGCGGGUUCUACCCGGCUCGCCUUUGUGUGAGUGCAGUGCGUAGCUCGUUGUUUGGUACGUGCCACUCCGUAUUAAUUCAUACGUGGGGAUAGAUCAUUGUUUAAUUGUUGGUCUCGGUCUUAACUAGGAAUGCCUUGUACGGGUCUUUGGUUCAACAUACCACCCGGAAUAC